AUUGAACGCUGGCGGCAGGCCUAACACAUGCAAGUCGAGCGGAUGAAGGGAGCUUGCUCCUGGAUUCAGCGGCGGACGGGUGAGUAAUGCCUAGGAAUCUGCCUGGUAGUGGGGGAUAACGUCCGGAAACGGGCGCUAAUACCGCAUACGUCCUGAGGGAGAAAGUGGGGGAUCUUCGGACCUCACGCUAUCAGAUGAGCCUAGGUCGGAUUAGCUAGUUGGUGGGGUAAAGGCCUACCAAGGCGACGAUCCGUAACUGGUCUGAGAGGAUGAUCAGUCACACGGGAACUGAGAUACGGUCACGACUCCUACGGGAGGCAGCAGUGGGGAAUAUUGGACAAUGGGCGAAAGCCUGAUCCAGCCAUGCCGCGUGUGUGAAGAAGGUCUUCGGAUUGUAAAGCACUUCAAGUUGGGAGGAAGGGCAGUAAGUUAAUACCUUGCUGUUUUGACGUUACCAACAGAAUAAGCACCGGCUAACUUCGUG
rnacentral:rRNA from 1 species